UAAAAAUCUAGUAGUUAAAUGUGCAUUUUGAUAAAAGUGAACAAAUGACAUGGAAGCAAUGAUGCCUCCCCCAAGGUCCCAGAGGAUGUUCUAGAAACAAGGAGCAGUUUGGAAACUUUGCACUCGUAUUUGGCUUGGAUGAUUUUUCUGUUCAGCUAAAAGACUCGUUCAAGAAAGGAAAAUCCAUGGACUGGUUUUGUUGGCACUUGAGGUGUGGAAACUGAGAGAAUACUUCUGACUUGUCACAACCACCAAGAUGACAAAUCUACACGAACCCAGGUUCCAGGAGAUGAAAUACAGACUUCUCCAAAGGAUUGUGAGUCUGAGAAGCACUGGUCAAUGGAAGAGAGUGGAAGGAAGGAGACACAAGAGACAGAUCUCUUCUCUUUUAAUAGGUGACCUUGGAUGGCGCUCGUGGAUGCAGAAAAUUUUGGACACAUAAUCAUAUCACAGAUUUCCUGUUUUUCACCCCAACUCUUUUAAUCAAGCCAUCAAUAAAAAAUAGAGCAACUGAGAAAAAAAAAGCUACAAGACUUUCAGUUGAUGAUUUUUAUGAUUCAUGUAGGCUCCACUGGAGGUCUAAACCAAACUCGUGUGAAGCUCAGUUGCAGGAACAGGAGAGUAAGAAGUAGGGCCGUGCCUUAUCUCGUGCCAUGAAAAGAUCAGUACUAUUAGGAAGAACAGGCUUGGUGGAGACUGGAAUGUGAAAACACCCUAUAUCAAAGUUUCCUGUACAGUGCUAGAGAGGGUCACAGGUUGAGUCCCCAUGCUUAGUUCUGGCCCUCUGCAAGGCCCUCAGUUGCAGGGGGCUGCUGGAGGAGUGAGGCAUGGGUGAGCUGAGAACAUUCAGGAAAGCACGGACAAAUCUCCUCUCCGUGGUUCUGUGUCAGAGUGUUUACACUGAUGAGCUGAUGAGCAGAGCCCACAGGUUCAGGUUGACCUGAACGCCACUGCGAGAAUCGGGAACAAGACAGAAGUACACAUGACUGGGCCAUGCCCAUGAGUCAGAAGGGGAGAUGCCCUGUACCGCGAGUUACCCCUGCAACCUGUAUCUGGGAGAAAGGUUCUCUCUGCUCAGUGAUCUCACAAAUGCUCCACUACCCUUGAAGAGAUGGGUGUUGCCUUGUACAAUGAAAAAAUUUUUCUUACAUUACUGUCUUGAAUAAAACUCUAAUGGAAAGAUCAUUUGUUUACUUCUUUUUUUGUUGCAUGUUGAUUAAUCUGAUCUAAAGUUAACAUCCUCUUUCCCACC